rnacentral:RNase_P_RNA from 1 species
AAACGCUAUGUAAUACAUAGAGGAAAGUCCAUGCUCGCACACUCUGUGAUGGGUGUAGUGUUCGUGCUAGGGGAAAAAAUAACCCUAGGUAGCUUAUGCUAACGGAAGUGAAUAAACCUAAGUCUUUGAUAUGGUUUUAGUAACUAUAAAGGGCCAUAGUGACGAAGAAAGGAGAAAUCCUGGAAGUGGAACGUUGGUAACCCCCUCGAGCGAGAAACUCAAAUUUGGUAGAGGAGCUUCAGUUAGAGAAUUAAGAAUCAAGCUGGGGACUAGGAAACUAGUAGAUAAAUGUUUGUCACCUCGAAAGAGGUACAGAACAUGGCUUAUAA